GAUGAACGCUGGCGGCGUGCCUAAUACAUGCAAGUCGAGCGAACAGACGAGGAGCUUGCUCCUCUGACGUUAGCGGCGGACGGGUGAGUAACACGUGGAUAACCUACCUAUAAGACUGGGAUAACUUCGGGAAACCGGAGCUAAUACCGGAUAAUAUAUUGAACCGCAUGGUUCAAUAGUGAAAGACGGUUUUGCUGUCACUUAUAGAUGGAUCCGCGCCGCAUUAGCUAGUUGGUAAGGUAACGGCUUACCAAGGCAACGAUGCGUAGCCGACCUGAGAGGGUGAUCGGCCAGACUGGAACUGAGACACGGUCCAGACUCCUACGGGAGGCAGCAGUAGGGAAUCUUCCGCGAUGGGCGAAAGCCUGACGGAGCAACGCCGCGUGAGUGAUGAAGGUCUUCGGAUCGUAAAACUCUGUUAUUAGGGAAGAACAAAUGUGUAAGUAACUAUGCACGUCUUGACGGUACCUAAUCAGAAAGCCACGGCUAACUACGUG
rnacentral:rRNA from 1 species